UACGAAGGGGGCUAGCGUUGUUCGGAAUUACUGGGCGUAAAGCGCACGUAGGCGGGCGAUUAAGUCAGGGGUGAAAUCCCGGAGCUCAACUCCGGAACUGCCUUUGAUACUGGUCGUCUAGAGAUCGGAAGAGGUGAGUGGAAUUCCCAGUGUAGAGGUGGAAUUCGUAGAUAUUAGGAAGAACACCAGUGGCGAAGGCGGCUCACUGGUCCGGUACUGACGCUGAUGCGCGAAAGCGUGGGGAGCAAACGGG
rnacentral:rRNA from 1 species